rnacentral:rRNA from 1 species
AGUGAACGCUGGCGGUAGGCCUAACACAUGCAAGUCGAGCGGCAGCACAGUAAGAGCUUGCUCUUACGGGUGGCGAGUGGCGGACGGGUGAGGAAUACAUCGGAAUCUACUUUUUCGUGGGGGAUAACGUAGGGAAACUUACGCUAAUACCGCAUACGACCUACGGGUGAAAGCAGGGGAUCUUCGGACCUUGCGCGAUUGAAUGAGCCGAUGUCGGAUUAGCUAGUUGGCGGGGUAAAGGCCCACCAAGGCGACGAUCCGUAGCUGGUCUGAGAGGAUGAUCAGCCACACUGGAACUGAGACACGGUCCAGACUCCUACGGGAGGCAGCAGUGGGGAAUAUUGGACAGUGGGCGCAAGCCUGAUCCAGCCAUACCGCGUGGGUGAAGAAGGCCUUCGGGUUGUAAAGCCCUUUUGUUGGGAAAGAAAAGCAGCAGGUUAAUACCCCGCUGUUCUGACGGUACCCAAAGAAUAAGCACCGGCUAACUUCGUG